rnacentral:rRNA from 1 species
GAUGAACGCUGGCGGCGUGCCUAAUACAUUCAAGUCGAGCGAACAGACGAGGAGCUUGCUCCUCUGACGUUAGCGGCGGACGGGUGAGUAACACGUGGAUAACCUACCUAUAUGACUGGGAUAACUUCGGGAAACCGGAGCUAAUACCGGAUAAUAUAUUGAACCGCAUGGUUCAAUAGUGAAAGACGGUUUUGCUGUCACUUAUAGAUGGAUCCGCGCCGCAUUAGCUAGUUGGUAAGGUAACGGCUUACCAAGGCAACGAUGCGUAGCCGACCUGAGAGGGUGAUCGGCCACACUGGAACUGAGACACGGUCCAGACUCCUACGGGAGGCAGCAGUAGGGAAGCUUCCGCAAUGGGCGAAAGCCUGACGGAGCAACGCCGCGUGAGUGAUGAAGGUCUUCGGAUCGUAAAACUCUGUUACUAGGGAAGAACAAAUGUGUAAGUAACUAUGCACGUCUUGACGGUACCUAAUCAGAAAGACACGGCUAACUACGUG